ACGAGUUCAAUAGCAAGAUGGCUUUAUCUUUCUCCUCGAUUUUCACUUCGAGGUUGGCAAGAUGUGUGAUUAGUCCGUUAAACACAUUUAAAUGUGACAAAAAAUUCAUACCUUCACCCGUGUGUAGGGCGCAUAACUGCUUCUUCAGGUACAAUUUACUUGUCAGCGUUUUGGACAUGUAUAGACUUUCCAACAUUACCAAAUUCCAAGUGCAGUGUCUUCAUCAAUGAUGUUAUUUACCACAUCAUCCGAUAAGUGCAACCUGAUUGCACUAGCAACUCUUUCAUCCAAGUCAGCCCAAUCCUCAGUUUAUCUUCCUCCUCGAUUUUCACUCAGAGGUUGGCAAGCUGUGUGAUUAGUCCGAUAAACCCAUUUAAAUAUGACAAAGAAUUCAUACCUUCACCCAUGUGUAGGGCGUAUAACUGCUUCUUCAGGUAAAAUUUAUUUGUCAGCAUCUUGGACAUGUAUAGGCUUUCCAACCCUGUCCAAAUUCCACGUGCAGUGUCUUCAUCAAUGAUAUUAUUUAACACAUCAUCAGGUAAGUGCAACCUGAUUGCACUAGCAGUUUUUUCAUCCAAGUCAGCCCAAUCCUCAGCUUUUAUGGUAUCAGGCUUUUUGGCAUCGGCAUCUAGUACCUUGUGUAAUCCUUGUUGGAUGAGCAAAUCCCUCAUCCUUCUUUGCCAUGUUGAGAAAUUAUUAUGUCCUUUGAAUUUUGCUACCUUGUACUUUACU
rnacentral:lncRNA from 1 species